rnacentral:lncRNA from 1 species
GCCUUGGACUGAGCUUGUGCCACACUCAGAAGCAGUCACUGUGGUAGCCGCAGAACUGAAAUUGUGUAAGCUCCGUUUCAAGGCCCUGAGGUCCAGACCCCUGGCUAUUCUUGACCUGCAGCAGCCUUUAACCCUUAGCUCCUGCAUCUCCAGCCUGAGCUUCCACCCAGCUGCUCUUGACCAGCUUUGUUCAUCUGCUCUUCAUGCCUUCAGUAUUAAAGUUGCCUGAAGGCUUGCAGCCAGUAGUUCUUCUUUCUUGGACCCUGCUCUGAUGUUCCCAGCUGUUGCUAUUAGGAAUCAACCAGUAGAAGGGAAGAAACCGAUAUAACAAGCGAGGACACCUGGGGAAGUUUUACAAUCUAACAGGUAGGCAGGAAGAUAUGGUACUGGAUUCAGGCACUUGGUUAGCUCUCUAUUCUCAGUGGAGUGGGAAGUAUAAGCAUCCUUGUAAGAAUGAGAAUAGAUGAAGAGUAAGGAAGUGUUGGAGUUUUAAUGGUAGAGGUGAAAGUAUAAAAACAUUGUCCAGACAAGUAGAUGUGACUGAACUAAGGAAGCAUAGUGUGAUUGUUGGGUAGCAUUAAGAACCCAUUUAAGGUUAGUGGUCAUAAAUUUUUCAGUUUUGGCCAGAUGGUAUGAUGGGGCAUGAUUUGCCAGUGAUGUUUUGAGUGAAGGGAAGUGUGGAAUAGGCAGAGAGUUGGGAUUAACUGUGGUUGGGAUUUUAUCAGCGGAGAAUGGCAAAGCCAAAAAUGGCAAGGACAUUAGAGACUUAUGUGAAAAAGUGUUGCUUAUGAUGGACCAAGGAAUUUAAGCUGAAUAGGGUAGAAAUUUUAGACAAGAUUAGUACACUGGGCAGUGAAAAUAUGGUAGAGACAACAGAUUAUAACUCUGGAUGUGGUUGCAUAAUUAAUUAUUGCAGCCAAGCUAGCAGAAGGUAUUUCUUUACAAGCAUUUUGUUUUGAUCCUGCAAGUAUCAUGCUGUAGCAAGUUCAACUGUUUUUAGAGUCCAGUAUUUUUUCAAUUAAACUACAUUCAGACUCAUUUUGGUCCUAAUUUUAAAAUUCUUUCUCCAUUUUACCACCAACAAACACACUAAUUAAAUAUUGAGUUAGCAAAAUGAUUGAAAAUAGAUAGUACUGAUAUUUCCAAGUCAAUUUCCUUCUGCUACUUGGUUUUAUUCCUG